rfam:Danio rerio chromosome 25, GRCz11 reference primary assembly.
CCUUGUCCUCAUUGGUAAGUCGCUUUGGAUAAAAGCGUCUGCUAAAUGACUAAAU